CCCAUAUAAAAAAUCCACACAAAUAGGAGGCACCAAGCCACCCUCACUCAGAAUGAAACCAGGCUCUCCAUAAUCUCCCCGUCUCCGCCGUGCCAGAGCUCUUUGCCGGCGACGGCGGAGCUCCUAUACAACAAAACACCUCAAUCUCCUUGCCUUACCUCCCGAUCACAAAUCCUUCCACCAAAUCCUCUCAAACCCAAAAGUGGAGCUAAAUAGAAGAAGGAAAACAAACGAAAAUUAUUGGGCAAAACACGAUGAAACAUGCAACAAGCUAAGGGAUAAAGCUCCUCCGAUGAAACGAGCUCACGGCGGAAAGACGGGGGAAACAAAGCUCCGACGCGGAGACCUCGGCGAAUCAAAGACAAAGGUUCAGGUUCGUUAAACUUGGUUGAUUACUUGUGAACUAUCAUGGGCUUACGAUGGUUGGGUUGCAAGUUCAUGUAUGUGAAGGUUUACUGCUGCGAAAAACUGGUUAUGAAAUAGUGGUUUGGGCUGGUUUUGAAUGAAAUCAGUGUGAUGUACAUGAUUCUUGGAGGUGCCCCAUGAGGAUGAUGAUGGCCCAAAGUUCCUUUUCAAUUGUUCCAUGUAAAUGCUAAUUGUCAUGAUAAUGGGAUGUAAUAGAAUUAAUAUUGUAAAUGUAAUGCAACCUUGUAUCCAUGUUCUAUUAGCAAAAUUUUUGAGAUUAAACUAUUAA